rnacentral:rRNA from 1 species
GACGAACGCUGGCGGCGUGCUUAACACAUGCAAGUCGAACGGAAAGGCCCUGCUUUUGUGGGGUGCUCGAGUGGCGAACGGGUGAGUAACACGUGAGUAACCUGCCCUUGACUUUGGGAUAACUUCAGGAAACUGGGGCUAAUACCGGAUAGGAGCUCCUGCUGCAUGGUGGGGGUUGGAAAGUUUCGGCGGUUGGGGAUGGACUCGCGGCUUAUCAGCUUGUUGGUGGGGUAGUGGCUUACCAAGGCUUUGACGGGUAGCCGGCCUGAGAGGGUGACCGGCCACAUUGGGACUGAGAUACGGCCCAGACUCCUACGGGAGGCAGCAGUGGGGAAUAUUGCACAAUGGGCGGAAGCCUGAUGCAGCAACGCCGCGUGCGGGAUGACGGCCUUCGGGUUGUAAACCGCUUUCGCCUGUGACGAAGCGUGAGUGACGGUAAUGGGUAAAGAAGCACCGGCUAACUACGUGCCAGCAGCCGCGGUGAUACGUAGGGUGCGAGCGUUGUCCGGAUUUAUUGGGCGUAAAGGGCUCGUAGGUGGUUGAUCGCGUCGGAAGUGUAAUCUUGGGGCUUAACCCUGAGCGUGCUUUCGAUACGGGUUGACUUGAGGAAGGUAGGGGAGAAUGGAAUUCCUGGUGGAGCGGUGGAAUGCGCAGAUAUCAGGAGGAACACCAGUGGCGAAGGCGGUUCUCUGGGCCUUUCCUGACGCUGAGGAGCGAAAGCGUGGGGAGCGAACAGGCUUAGAUACCCUGGUAGUCCACGCUGUAAACGGUGGGUACUAGGUGUGGGGUCCAUUCCACGGGUUCCGUGCCGUAGCUAACGCUUUAAGUACCCCGCCUGGGGAGUACGGCCGCAAGGCUAAAACUCAAAGGAAUUGACGGGGCCCCGCACAAGCGGCGGAGCAUGCGGAUUAAUUCGAUGCAACGCGUAGAACCUUACCUGGGUUUGACAUGGAUCGGGAGCGCUCAGAGAUGGGUGUGCCUCUUUUGGGGUCGGUUCACAGGUGGUGCAUGGCUGUCGUCAGCUCGUGUCGUGAGAUGUUGGGUUAAGUCCCGCAACGAGCGCAACCCUUGUUCACUGUUGCCAGCACGUUAUGGUGGGGACUCAGUGGAGACCGCCGGGGUCAACUCGGAGGAAGGUGGGGAUGACGUCAAGUCAUCAUGCCCCUUAUGUCCAGGGCUUCACGCAUGCUACAAUGGCUGGUACAGAGAGUGGCGAGCCUGUGAGGGUGAGCGAAUCUCGGAAAGCCGGUCUCAGUUCGGAUUGGGGUCUGCAACUCGACCUCAUGAAGUCGGAGUCGCUAGUAAUCGCAGAUCAGCAACGCUGCGGUGAAUACGUUCCCAGGGCU